rnacentral:sRNA from 1 species
UGUCAUUGUGUUAACCAGCCAGAGGUA